GUUGAGGUGGCCGAGUGGGUAAGGCGAUGGACUAAAAAUGCAAUGCGAUCUUCCGAGCAGAUUAAAGUCCUGCCCGCAACG
rnacentral:tRNA from 1 species